rnacentral:lncRNA from 1 species
ACAGGCUCAUAGGCAGAAGAGACUUGCCUUGUUUCAGAUGAGACUUUGGAUUGCAGACUUUUGAGGCCUGGCAGCUGUGGCGACUGAAUCUAAGAAGAAAGGCUGAUAAUGCUCUGGCUGGUUUCAUAAUAGGACUUUUCAAGGCACUGUCCCAUCCAUUAACUCAUUUGAAAUGAAAGAUGAAGAAACCGAGCCACACAGAGGUUAAAUAACUUGCCCAAGGGUGCACAACUACUAGUAGUAUUGAGUCUAUACGCUUAAGUAUUGUGCUAUUCCAUUUCUUACUGAAUACAAAGCAAAAAAACAUAAGGAUCAGAGGAGGAGUGUGAGUGUCCUCAUACUCACAGCAAAAGGAGGGAAUUCAGGAGAGGAUUGAAGAAGCGGUUCCUGUUUUUGAGGCAUUUGCAAUCAUUGCUGGAGAGACAGAACCAACAGAUGGGGAACAAUGGUCAGGGACUCCAGGCCUGAUUUAAGCCAAUGCCGCCCUGUGGUCUUUACCCACGAAUGGUGUGGAAAAUGAGAGCAGGGAAGAGGAUUUACUCACUGGCUGUGGAGUUAGGUCAGAAGGGGGAUGGAAAGAAGGAACCGGAUGGCUUUGGGGACAUUUCUUAAUCUUUAGGCUUCACCUUCCUUAACUGAAAAUAAAGCCAUAAGUUACCUCCAGAACUCUUUCAGCCUUAACAUUCAAUGAAUCUCGAUCUUUUCUGUAAAGCUAGAUUUUUAUGUGUGGUAUUUGCUAAAAGUUGGGGCGCACCCUUACUUGAUCUGGCCCAGACUAUAGAUCACAUGAAGAUCACAUUAAAUCAGGUCGAAAGACUUUUCUGACUUCAAAUUAGCGAAUAUGCAUAUGUGCUGAACUUUAGUCUUUUCCUUUUCUUGAACAUUCAGUUUAAUAAUUGUCUCUGCCAUUUUACACAUUUAUUUUUCUUGGCUAUUUAUAUUUUCCUUUUGGGGAGGUCAAAUAUAAAAAUAGGAUAUACAUGGACUGUAGCAGUUGAUAAUAACUUGUGUGCUUUGAUUUUUUAAAGAACCAAAAUUUACCAAAAGGGAUCUUGCUCACUUAUCAAUUUGUUUUUUUUAUAUCUCUGUUUUUGUACAUAUCUUUUAAGUUAUUCCAGACCCUGACAACUGGACACCUGGUUAUGAUUGCAGAAUGUGCAGUUUAAAAUCCUAUUUUAAAACUUAGUUUUUGUUUUUCUUUUUGAGACAGGGUCUCAUUCUGUCAUCCAGGCUGGAGUGCAGUGGUGCAAUCACGGCUCACUGCAGCCUUAACCUCCUGGGCUCAAGCAAUCCUUCUACCUCAGCCUC